CGGGGGGAGCAAGCGUUGUUCGGAUUUACUGGGCGUAAAGGGCGCGUAGGCGGCCUCUGCAAGUCGACUGUGAAAUCUCCGGGCUUAACCCGGAACGGUCAGCCGAUACUGCAGGGCUAGAGUGCAGAAGGAGCAACUGGAAUUCUCGGUGUAGCGGUGAAAUGCGUAGAUAUCGAGAGGAACACCUGCGGCGAAGGCGGGUUGCUGGGCUGACACUGACGCUGAGGCGCGAAAGCUAGGGGAGCGAACGGGAUUAGAUACCCCGGUAGUCCUAGCCUUAAACGAUGAAUGCUUGGUGUCUGGGGUUUUAUAGUCCCCGGGUGCCGUCGCUAACGCUUUAAGCAUUCCGCCUGGGGAGUACGGUCGCAAGACUG
rnacentral:rRNA from 1 species